rnacentral:rRNA from 1 species
UACGAGGGGGGCAAGCGUUGUUCGGAGUUACUGGGCGUAAAGGGCGCGUAGGCGGCGCACCAAGUCAGGCGUGAAAGCCCUGGGCUCAACCCGGGAAUUGCGCUUGAGACUGGUGUGCUUGAGUACGGGAGAGGAUAGUGGAAUUCCCAGUGUAGAGGUGAAAUUCGUAGAUAUUGGGAAGAACACCGGUGGCGAAGGCGGCUAUCUGGACCGUAACUGACGCUGAGGCGCGAAAGCGUGGGGAUCAAACAGG